rnacentral:lncRNA from 1 species
GGCUGUUCUCUUUGAUCGACCUCUUCACUCCCGCCUUCUGAUACUGCUCUUCUCUGCUGGAAACCUCCUCAUCUUUGGAACUCCUGCCUCUCCUGAGAAGAGUCAGCCACAAGACACAAGUCUUCAGCUGCUUCUCAGUAAAUACAGCAGUCUUUCACACCAGGUUAGAGUCACAACAAGAAGGACACCCACGUGACUCAGCCGUCUCACCUCUGUGGGUGCUACAGCUAAAGGAAAUGAAGUCAGGGUGUUGGAGACAUCUGCACACUCGCGUUCACUGCAGCACUAUUCCCAACAGGCAAGUUGCAAAAUCAAUGGAAGUGUCCGCAGAUGGAUGAAUGGAUAAAGAAAAUCACACACACACAGGGUAUUAUAUAGGCUUUAAAAUAAGGAAAUGAUGUCACUUGUAGUAACACAAAUGAACCUGAAGAACAUCAUGCUAAGUGAAUUAAGCCAGACACAGAACCACCAAAACUGCACCAUCUCACUCACAUUAGGGAUCUUAAAAACAUCAAACUCAAAGAAGUACAAAGUAGAAUAAUUACUAGAGGCUGGGAAUAGAGGGAUAUUGAGGAGAUACUGGUCAGAGAGUACAAAGUUUCAAUCAAAUAGGGGGAUCCUGUUUAAUGAUCUAUUGCACAGCAUGAUGAACUUAGCUAAUAAUAUCUACAAAUUAUAUAUCUGAAAAUGUCUAAAAUAACUAUGUUCCCUCACAAAAAAUGGUAAAUAGGUGAGGUGAAAGUCAUGCUAAUUAGUUUCAUGUAAUCAU